AUGGCCGGCUCUGAUCUCCUCCGCCCAGAUCCAGCCACAGGGCUGGCCAUCGUGAUCAUGGGAGUCAGCGGCUGCGGCAAAUCGACCGUGGCGGCGAUGCUCGCCGACGCGCUGGGCUGCGGCUUCGUCGAGGCGGACGACUACCACUCCCACGCCAACAAAGAGAAGAUGAGCAGGGGCGUCCCGCUCACGGACGAGGACCGCCUCCCGUGGCUGGAGUCGCUGCGCGACGCCAUCCGGGAGCGCCUAGGCCGCGGCGAGGACGUCGCCGUCAGCUGCUCGGCGCUGCGGCUCAAGUACAGGGAGGUUCUCCGGCAGGGGGACAUCAGUUACAAGCCUGGGAGCUAUGAGACCUGCAGAGUCAAGUUCGUGUGUCUAGAGGCGUCGGCGGAGGUGAUCGCCGGGAGGGUCGAGCGCAGGGCGGCGGAAGGGGGCCACUUCAUGCCGGCGAGCCUGGUGCGGAGCCAGCUCGACCUGCUUGAGAUCGACGCGGCGGAGGGGAUCACCGUCGUCGACGCCACGGUGCCCGCCCACGCCAUCGUCCAAGCCACCGUCGCCCAGUUCAGGGACGAGCUGGCAUCCAUGGCGUGCUGA
rnacentral:rRNA from 1 species